CAGCAGCCGCGGUAAUACGUAGGUGGUAAGCGUUGUCCGGAAUUAUUGGGCGUAAAGCGUGCGCAGGCGGUUGUGUAAGACAGGUGUGAAAUCCCCGGGCUUAACCUGGGAACUGCGCUUGUGACUGCACAGCUAGAGUAUGGCAGAGGGGGGUGGAAUUCCACGUGUAGCAGUGAAAUGCGUAGAGAUGAGGAGGAACACCGAUGGCGAAGGCAGCCCCCUGGGCCAAUACUGACGCUCAUGCACGAAAGCGUGGGGAGCAAACAGGAUUAGAUACCGAGUAGUCCCUGUCUCUUAUACA
rnacentral:rRNA from 1 species